CCAUAUCACGGUGAAACAUCGGUUCCCGUCCAAUCACCGUAGUUAAGGAACAUCAUGCCUGGCGAGUACCUAGAAGGGUGACCUCUUGGGACUACCAGAUUCUGUAA